UUCUCUGAGAUAGCUCAGUCAGUGGAGCAUGAGACUCUUAAUCUCAGGGUUGUGGGUUCGAGCCCCACAGCGGGCGAAA